UCCCUUAUGGAUUUGGUUUUCGAUUAAA
rnacentral:snRNA from 1 species